rnacentral:rRNA from 1 species
AUCGGCCCGCGUCUGAUUAGCUAGUUGGUGGGGUAACGGCCUACCAAGGCGACGAUCAGUAGCUGGUCUGAGAGGAUGAUCAGCCACACUGGGACUGAGACACGGCCCAGACUCCUACGGGAGGCAGCAGUGGGGAAUAUUGGACAAUGGGCGCAAGCCUGAUCCAGCCAUGCCGCGUGAGUGAUGAAGGCCUUAGGGUUGUAAAGCUCUUUUAUCCGGGACGAUAAUGACGGUACCGGAGGAAUAAGCCCCGGCUAACUUCGUGCCAGCAGCCGCGGUAAUACGAAGGGGGCUAGCGUUGCUCGGAAUCACUGGGCGUAAAGGGCGCGUAGGCGGCGUUUUAAGUCGGGGGUGAAAGCCUGUGGCUCAACCACAGAAUGGCCUUCGAUACUGGGACGCUUGAGUAUGGUAGAGGUUGGUGGAACUGCGGAGUGUAGAGGUGAAAUUCGUAGAUAUUCGCAAGAACACCGGUGGCGAAGGCGGCCAACUGGACCAUUACUGACGCUGAGCGCGAAAGCGUGGGGAGCAAAACAGGAUUAGAUACCCUGGUAGUCCACGCCGUAAACNAUGAAUGCCAGCUGUUGGGGUGCUUGCACCGCAGUAGCGCAGCUAACGCUUUGAGCAUUCCGCCUGGGGAGUACGGUCGCAAGA